rnacentral:lncRNA from 1 species
AAUUCAACUAAUCCAACAUCACUAAAGGCCGUUCAAGUUAUGUCAAGUGCAUUUACUCAAAUUAGCCCGCUACUAUUUGUUUUGAUUUCAGAAUCACAAAUGUUGGAACUAAGCUUAUCCUUUUGAAGAUAACAUGAAUGCACAUAUAUUUAUCAGCCUCACAGCUGAUUCCAAAUUCUAUACUACUCAAACUGACAACUUCAAUUCACGCUUAACUUUCUUUUCUUUCAAUAAAUACAACACUAUUUAGUUAUAAUUGAAGGCAAAGUAAUCGUCCAUCAAGUUGAGCCACCAAAUUUAUCAAAUACACUUACUGCUUUAAAUGCUUAUGCCCUGAUCUCGAACCCAACAGUAUUGACUUCAACUCAAACUUAAGCUGAUAUUUUCCUUCUUAACAAUUUGGCCAGCAUCUAACACACAAAACAUUUACAAAUUAAAACAUAUGAGUCGAAUGCUAGAUAUAGUCCACACAGUCCAUUACAAAUUCAAACUAGACCGAAUCAGUCUUAAGAACAGCCCUAAUCACACAGUCAAGUUCUAUAUUUCAUAUAAUACUAAGUAAACUGCAAACAUUAACUACAUGUAUUUCAAUGACAUUCAUUGAAUUAAAAUUGAUCUCAAUGAACUCAGACCUGGUGAAAACUUUUUAUUCCAACUUCAAUUUCAAAGUUACAUCAGGAUAACUAAGAGAGUGUACCUGAAAAUAAAACAAUAAAGAAGAAAAGAUCAGCGGCAGGUAGCAAACAACUAGUGUCCAGCAAUCAAAACAGCCACAAAUCGUUCUCAGCCCAGAAAUAACUCAAUGAUCCCAGAAAUACUGUAAAACCAAAACCAGAUUCGAUAGCAUACCAAACACAGCAAUAAAAACGAAUAAACUCGACAAUGCACCCAGAAGAACCUAAAGCCUUCAGUUAACCAAAACUCAAUCAAAAACCAAUUCAAAUGGACCAAAAUCACUCAACACCCUUCUGGUAACUCUCUGAAGCCUCAAACAUCAGGUUUUGAACUAGGAGAGGCAGAUCAACUACUAAUACUUGGAUUUUAUCCUAAGAAAUGAAUAGAAAAGCUUUUUUUUAAAAAACUUUUUUCUACUGCAUUUCUUUUUAUUUUUACUUUUAGAGUAUGAAUUGUGAUCUGAAAGAAGAUGAAAAACUAUAAGAUUGCAGAUUUUUGAACUUCUAAAAUUUGUAAUUCAAACUUUGAUUCAGAUCUCUAGAGAAUGGAUUUUUGGGGAGGGAAAUUUAGAGCUCCCAAACUUGUUCAUUAAGGCAAAGACUUGGCCCUUUUAUAGG